rnacentral:rRNA from 1 species
AUGGUCUCUUGUGGUCGCACUGCCGUGAACAUCAAUGGGGAGAUUGGCCCCUACUUUCCCACUCUUUGUGGGGUGAGACAAGGCGACCCUCUCUCCCCGUUCUUGUUCAAUAUGGUGGUGGACGCACUUGUUGCCAUCCUGGACACGGCUAAGGCUGCGGGCCAUAUUCGUGGGAUGACCCCCCACUUGGCCGGUGGUUCCGGCAUCUCCCUGCUCCAGUACACCGACGACACCAUCAUUAUGGUCGAAGGCUCGAACGCGGACAUCGCUAACCUUAAGUUCCUCCUUCUCUGCUUCCAACAAAUGUCUGGCCUCAAGAUCAACUUCGACAAGAGUGAUGUGAUGGUGACGGGCUACUCUCCGGCAGAGGCCCUCGACAUUGCCAACCGCCUUAAUUGCCGCCUGGGCUCCUUCCCCACAACCUUCGGAACGCCCAUUAGUGACUCUCGGCUUACCGUUCCUGACUUGCGGCCGACUGUGGCCAAGUUGCAAAUGCGCAUUGAGCCUUGGCAGGGUCGGUGGCUGUCGAAGGCGGCCCGGACGAUUCUCAUCAACUCCUCACUCUCCAUUCUCCUCUUGUUCCUCAUGAGCUUCUACAGCCUUCAUGAGACGCUCCACCAUGAGAUCGAAAAGGUCCAAUCCCGCUUCUAUUGGGUGUGGGAUCCCAUAUGGUUAGCUGGCCCGACAUCUACAAGCCCCGGGAAUAAGGUGGCCUCGGUAUCAUGUGCUCGAAGCGCAUGA